GGGCACUUGGCACAGUUGGUAGCGCGCACGCUUCGCAUUGAUGAAUAGUCUGAUUGCGUGAGGUCGUGGGUUCAACUCCCACAGUGUCCA